rnacentral:rRNA from 1 species
GACGAAGGAUGCAAGCGUUAUCCGGAUUCAUUGGGUUUAAAGGGUGCGUAGGCGGCCCUAUAAGUCAGUGGUGAAAUAUCGCAGCUUAACUGUGAGGGUGCCAUUGAUACUGUAGGGCUUGAGUGAAUUUGAGGUAGGCGGAAUUGACGGUGUAGCGGUGAAAUGCUUAGAUAUCGUCAAGAACACCGAUAGUGAAGACAGCUUACCAAGCUUCAACUGACGCUGAGGCACGAAAGUGUGGGGAUCAAACAGG